rnacentral:rRNA from 1 species
GAUGAACGCUAGCGGCAGGCCUAAUACAUGCAAGUCGAACGGUGUAGCAAUACACAGUGGCGCACGGGUGCGUAACACGUAUGCAACCUACCUAUCAUUGGGGGAUAGCCUUUGGAAACGGAGAUUAAUACCGCAUAAGACAGUAACAUGGCAUCAUGUAGCUGUUAACGCUUCGGCGAUGAUAGAUGGGCAUGCGUCCAAUUAGUUAGUUGGUGAGGUAACGGCUCACCAAGACGAUGAUUGGUAGGGGAUCUGAGAGGAUAAUCCCCCACACUGGCACUGAGAUACGGGCCAGACUCCUACGGGAGGCAGCAGUAGGGAAUAUUGGGCAAUGGGCGGAAGCCUGACCCAGCCAUGCCGCGUGCAGGAUGAAGGCAUUAUGCGUUGUAAACUGCUUUUUUAUAGGAAGAAGGAGACCUUGCGCGGUUUGGUGACGGUACUAUAAGAAUAAGCACCGGCUAACUCCGUGCCAGCCGCCGCCGUAACAC